GACGAACGCUGGCGGCGUGCUUAACACAUGCAAGUCGAGCGGUAAGGCCCUUCGGGGUACACGAGCGGCGAACGGGUGAGUAACACGUGGGUGACCUGCCUUUAGCUCUGGGAUAAGCCUGGGAAACUGGGUCUAAUACCGGAUAUGACUCCACGACGCAUGUUGUGGGGUGGAAAGCCUUGUGCGGCUGGAGAUGGGCCCGCGGCCUAUCAGCUUGUUGGUGGGGUGANGGCCUACCAAGGCGACGACGGGUAGCCGGCCUGAGAGGGCGACCGGCCACACUGGGACUGAGACACGGCCCAGACUCCUACGGGAGGCAGCAGUGGGGAAUCUUGCGCAAUGGGCGAAAGCCUGACGCAGCGACGCCGCGUGAGGGAUGACGGCCUGG
rnacentral:rRNA from 1 species